GGUACGUGAGUCAACCUCUGUCGUUGCCUGGGAAACUAUUGGUAGCGUGGCUCCGUUAAGGAGUAUGUUUGUGUAGUGAGCGGGAAAGAUCGAGGGGCAGAGAAGUGACGGUGGAUGCGAGCGGGGAAGAGGAAAAGGUUAAUAUGUUUGGUCAGGACUGCUUCCAUGUGUCAGAGGCGCAGGGCAGAUCCACCUGCCUGAGGCUGCUCUCUGAUGUUGCCAGGGCUCCUCCUCGUGCUUCACAAUAAAAAAAAAGGCUGUUUACAUUGUUUCUCAAUGAGAAAGAAUAAAAAGCUCAAGUUGAGUGAGAACACUUUA